rnacentral:rRNA from 1 species
CCUACGGGAGGCAGCAGUGGGGGAUAUUGCACAAUGGGGGAAACCCUGAUGCAGCGACGCCGCGUGGGCGAAGAAGGAUUUCGGUAUGGAAAGCCCUAUCAGCAGGGGAGAAGAAAGGACGGUACCUGAGUAAGAAGCAGCGGCUAAAUACGUGCCAGCAGCCGAGGUACUACGGAUGGUGAACGCGUUAUCCGGAUUUACUGGGUGUAAAGGGAGCGCAGGCGGCACGGCAAGCCUGAUGUGAAAGCCCGCGGCCCACCCGGGGGACUGCCUUGGGAACUACCGGGCUGGAGUGCCGGAGCGGUAGGCGGACUUCCUCUUGUAGCGGUGAAAUGCGUAGCUAUUACGCGGACCCCCGGUGGCGAAGGCGGCCUACUGGACGGUGACUGACGCUGAUGCUCG